rnacentral:piRNA from 1 species
UGCCACAAUGCAGAUUUUUGUGAAGACC